GUUGCUGCUGGGCCAGAAGUAGAGCUCUCCAGUUUAGAUGGAGUAAUUUGGGGUUGUCUCAGCUCCAGAGACAUUAUGCAUGAAAAGCAGGGUCUGACAGCAAAGCUGCUUUAGCUCCGGUGUAAGCCCGGCUGCAUUUUUUCUCCAGGUUUGGCUCAGAGCUGACUGUGGUGGACGGCCAUCAGGGGGACUAGAAAUAAG